rnacentral:rRNA from 1 species
UACGGGGGGGGCAAGCGUUGUUCGGAAUUACUGGGCGUAAAGGGCUUGUAGGUGGCCAACUAAGUCAGACGUGAAAUCCCUCGGCUUAACCGGGGAACUGCGUCUGAUACUGGAUGGCUGGAGUGUGGGAGAGGGAUGCGGAAUUCCAGGUGUAGCGGUGAAAUGCGUAGAUAUCUGGAGGAACACCGGUGGCGAAGGCGGCAGCCUGGACCAUUACUGACACUGAAAAGCGAAAGCCAGGGGAGCAAACGGG